rnacentral:tmRNA from 1 species
UCACUUUUUAUUAACCCGUUUUGUGUUAUAAAGAGAGGGUCGGCUUGCCGACUAUGGCGAUAAACGCCUUGUGGAAUAGACGCUGCGGACCCGGGGGCGGUACCCGGCGCCUCCACCAGAGGACAGGGUGGGAUUUUUUCAAAUCCCUGUCUUCUGACGGGGGCGAAACAGGAUCGACGCGCGUGGUAAAGACAUGGUUUUUGCCCGGCAUGAUACCGCCGUUAUCGGGUCAUUUUUAUAAAUGCCAACGACAAUGUUGACAUGAGCGUUUAUGCCCAAGCUGCCUAAUCUCCGCAUUGCGGAAGCAAGGUAGUUGCAUAAUGCACGCGGCCCGGGGGGCGCCGGGCAACAGAAGCCCCCCAAU